UACGGAGGGGGCUAGCGUUGUUCGGAAUUACUGGGCGUAAAGCGCACGUAGGCGGCUUUGCAAGUUAGAGGUGAAAGCCCGGGGCUCAACUCCGGAAUUGCCUUUAAAACUGCAUCGCUAGAAUUGUGGAGAGGUAAGUGGAAUUCCGAGUGUAGAGGUGAAAUGCGUAGAUAUCGGAAGGAACACCUGUGGCGAAAGCGGCUCACUGGCCCGGUACUGACGCUGAGGUGCGAAAGCGUGGGGAGCAAACAGG
rnacentral:rRNA from 1 species